AUUGAACGCUGGCGGCAGGCCUAACACAUGCAAGUCGAACGAGUGGCGGACGGGUGAGUAAUGUCUGGGAAACUGCCUGAUGGAGGGGGAUAACUACUGGAAACGGUAGCUAAUACCGCAUACCAUCGGAUGUGCCCAGAUGGGAUUAGCUAGUAGGUGGGGUAAAGGCUCACCUAGGCGACGAUCCCUAGCUGGUCUGAGAGGAUGACCAGCCCCACUGGAACUGAGACACGGCCCAGACUCCUACGGGAGGCAGCAGGGGGGAAUAUUGCACAAGGGGCGCAAGCCUGAUGCCGCCAUGCUGCGUGUAUGAAGAAGGCCGUCGGGUUGUAAAGUACUUUCAGCGGGGAGGCGUUACCCGCAGAAGAAGCACCGGCUAACUCCGUGCCAGCAGCCGCGGUAAUUC
rnacentral:rRNA from 1 species